rnacentral:rRNA from 1 species
AGAUUGAACGCUGGCGGCAUGCCUUACACAUGCAAGUCGAACGGUAACAGGUCUUCGGAUGCUGACGAGUGGCGAACGGGUGAGUAAUACAUCGGAACGUGCCCGAUCGUGGGGGAUAACGGAGCGAAAGCUUUGCUAAUACCGCAUACGAACUCUGGUUGAAAGCGGGGGAUCGCAAGACCUCGCGCGAUUGGAGCGGCCGAUGGCAGAUUAGGUAGUUGGUGGGGUAAAGGCUCACCGAAGCCGACGAUCGUGUAG